CUCCCUACCACGCUCGCCGAAAUACUUUUCGCACGCACCACCUCGCACACCCGCGCGGGCCCAUCCUCUCCAACCAUCUAGUACCAUCCUCCUCCCCGAUCCGCACCCGACGCAUCUGCUGCUAUAAAAACUACGUGUAUACCCCCGUACCCACUUCAUCCCUCUCUACUUCCCGAUCAAACGCGGCGGCGGCAGCAGCGGCAGCGCAAGAGGUAGAUUGGAGUAUCACCACCACCGCGCAAGAAAUGGCGGCCGAGACUUUCCUCUUCACCUCUGAGUCUGUGAACGAGGGCCACCCUGACAAGCUCUGCGACCAGGUCUCUGACGCUGUGCUUGACGCGUGCCUCGCCCAAGACGCUGACAGCAAGGUUGCCUGUGAGACAUGCACCAAGACCAACAUGGUCAUGGUUUUUGGUGAGAUCACCACCAAGGCCACGGUUGACUAUGAGAAGAUUGUGCGUGACACCUGCCGCAACAUUGGCUUCAUCUCUGAUGAUGUUGGCCUUGAUGCGGACCGGUGCAAGGUGCUUGUCAACAUAGAGCAGCAGUCUCCUGACAUUGCCCAGGGUGUGCACGGACAUUUCACCAAGCGCCCUGAGGAUAUUGGUGCUGGUGACCAGGGUAUCAUGUUUGGCUAUGCCACCGAUGAGACCCCUGAGCUCAUGCCCCUCAGCCAUGUGCUUGCCACCAAGCUGGGUGCCCGCCUCACUGAAGUCCGCAAGAAUGGCACUUGUGCCUGGCUAAGGCCUGAUGGCAAAACCCAGGUCACGGUUGAAUACCUCAACGAGGGAGGUGCCAUGGUUCCUGUACGUGUGCACACUGUUCUGAUCUCCACCCAGCAUGAUGAGACUGUCACCAAUGAUGAGAUUGCUGCGGACCUCAAGGAGCAUGUCAUCAAGCCGGUGAUCCCUGAGAAGUACCUGGACGAGAAGACCAUAUUCCACUUGAAUCCAUCAGGCCGCUUUGUCAUUGGUGGCCCUCAUGGUGAUGCUGGUCUUACUGGUCGCAAGAUCAUCAUCGACACCUAUGGUGGCUGGGGAGCACACGGAGGUGGUGCUUUCUCUGGCAAGGACCCAACUAAGGUUGACCGCAGUGGCGCCUACAUUGCCAGGCAGGCUGCCAAGAGCAUCAUUGCUAGCGGUCUUGCACGCCGCUGCAUUGUUCAGAUCUCCUACGCCAUUGGUGUGCCUGAGCCCUUAUCUGUCUUCGUUGACUCUUAUGGUACUGGCAAGAUCCCCGAUAAGGAGAUCCUCAAGAUUGUGAAGGAGAACUUUGACUUCAGGCCUGGGAUGAUCAGCAUCAACCUUGACUUGAAGAAGGGUGGCAACAGGUUCAUCAAGACGGCCGCUUAUGGCCACUUUGGCCGUGAGGAUGCUGACUUCACCUGGGAGGUUGUGAAGCCCCUCAAGUUUGACAAGGCCUCUGCUUGAGAGGUGGGUAUGAAGGAGUCUAAUCAUUCCUGCUGCUGCCGCUGGUGGUUGUAUCUUGGAUAAUUGAAUUCCUUCUCUUUAGAAGGAAGCAGGGUUUCAACAUCGCCGUGGACACGCUGAAUUGGCAUCUAGUGAUUGGUAUUUUGGUAUGGAAUACAAAAAUAUGUGCUGAGUUAAUACUAGUCGGGUCUUUUGAUGUCUUCUGUGCUUUCUUUUUGCUUUUUGAGUCUACUGAAACCGCAGUACUUGUGCGGUUUCCUCUAUCGGUCGUCCAGCUAUUUUUUAGUACUGCAUCUGUAAAACCAUAUGUGAUCCUAGUACCCUGUUCUUCCCAAUUCUC
rnacentral:rRNA from 1 species